rnacentral:tRNA from 1 species
GCCCCUGUAGUUAAACGGAUAUAACGCCUGCCUUCUAAGCAGGGAUUCGAGGUUCGAUUCCUCGUGGGGGCA